CAGUCGCCGCGGGAAUACGUAGGUCCCGAGCGUUGUCCGGAUUUAUUGGGCGUAAAGCGAGCGCAGGCGGUUUGAUAAGUCUGAAGUUAAAGGCUGUGGCUCAACCAUAGUUCGCUUUGGAAACUGUCAAACUUGAGUGCAGAAGAGGAGAGUGGAAUUCCAUGUGUAGCGGUGAAAUGCGUAGAUAUAUGGAGGAACACCGGUGGUGAAAGCGGCUCUCUGGUCUGUAACUGACGCUGAGGCUUGAAAGCGUGGGGAGCGAACAGGAUUAGAUACCCCAGUAGUCCCUGUCUUUAUACAC
rnacentral:rRNA from 1 species